rnacentral:rRNA from 1 species
CUAAUACAUGCAAGUCGUACGCUGAAGCGCUCUGCUUGCAGAGCGCGGAUGAGUGGCGAACGGGUGAGUAACACGUUGGGCAACCUGCCUGUAAGAUCGGGAUAACUCCGGGAAACCGGGGCUAAUACCGGAUAACCCGUGCCUCCUCCUGGAGGCGCGUUGAAAGGCGGCUUCGGCUGUCGCUUACAGAUGGGCCCGCGGCGUAUUAGCUUGUUGGUGGGGUAACGGCCCACCAAGGCGAUGAUACGUAGCCGACCUGAGAGGGUAAUCGGCCACACUGGGACUGAGACACGGCCCAGACUCCUACGGGAGGCAGCAGUAGGGAAUCUUCCGCAAUGGACGAAAGUCUGACGGAGCAAUGCCGCGUGAGUGAAGAAGGUCUUCGGAUCGUAAAGCUCUGUUGCCGGAGAAGAACAAGGACAGUAGUAACUGGCUGUCCCUUGACGGUAUCCGGCCAGAAAGCCACGGCUAACUACGUGCCAGCAGCCGCGGUAAUACGUAGGUGGCAAGCGUUGUCCGGAUUUAUUGGGCGUAAAGCGAGCGCAGGCGGUCCUUUAAGUCUGAUGUGAAAGCCCACGGGCUCAACCGUGGAAGGUCAUUGGAAACUGGGGGACUUGAGUGCAGAAGAGGAAAGUGGAUUCCAUGUGUAGCGGUGAAAUGCUAAAUGUAUGGAGGAACCCCAGUGGGCGAAGGCGAC